AGACACGUUGACACUGGGGGCUGGACCAGGGGCUGCCUGGGGUUGUUCCGUUUGCCGGCUGCCGAGAGCUUUCCAGGAGCGCAGGAGCGCUUCUGGUGGGGAUCCUAAGGGUCAGAGCAGCUGCCAUCGUCCCAGGGGCUCCGAGGGGAGGUGGAGAGAGGGAGAAGAGGAAACUUGGAUAUAGACACACACACAGAGGGAAGAUCGUGUGAAGAUUCUGGGAGAAGACAGCCAUCUACAGGCCAAGAAUCUGGGCCUCAGGAGACGCCAACCCUGCUGACAUCUUAAUCUCUGACUUCUAGCUUUCAGAACUCACACUCUUACACUGGCCUCUAGUGUUUGCAGUCCACUGACCCCCCCAACCUCAUGAAGCGUGGGGUGGCUCAGCGAUGGAACAAAGCAGGGGGUCCAAGCCUCCCGUGAAUCAUCAGCAACUUCCUGAUGCUGGAAAAGAGGAGCCUGACGACACAGAACCAGCCUCUUAAAAACAGCCUUUAAGUGUUGAAUCAUUAUGUUGUAUACCUGAAACGAACAUAAUAGUACGUGUCAAAAAAAUAAAUAAUUGAAA